GAUGGCGGUAUGAGGGUCGUGGGGGUUUGGGAGUAUGGGAAGCUGGUGGAGGAUGGGAGUGUGGUUGGGUUUGUGAGUGUGAAUGAGCCUGGGCAGGCUUCUCUCCACCAAUCUCAAGCUCCGAGUCAGACGCAGAAGCUCGCUUCUCUCUAACCCCCAGUGCGCAAUUCAGUGGCAUCACAUCCAGGCAGCUGGGGCUUUCCUUGGUUGAAAGCGGGGGUGGAACCGGGGAUCCUGCCUGGAUGGGGAGCUUGCACCUGCUUCCCUCCGUGGAUCUUGAGUUGCUGGUCAGACUGACAGCCUCGCUUCUCUCUGACCCACAAUGCACAAGUCAGAGAUGUCACAUCCGGGCCACCUGGGUUGACAGCAGGGGCGGAACCGGAUUCGGCCAGGAGUUGAUUUGGGAACCAGAGAACAGCAGCCUAAGUUUGACUGUAAUUUUGGCAGCUACAGGGAAGCCUCACACAUAUAGAAUAAUAGAGAGACUAACAUAAUGAACCCAGCAUACCUGACACUCAGCAUCAACAACCUUAAAUACACGGCAAAUCUGGUUCCAGUUAGACACUCACCUACCUGCAUCUCAGCUGCUGGAAUAAUGUGGAUCAAAUCAAAGACAGCAUACCAUUUCAUCUUGAAAUAAUUCAAUAUUCAUUUUUAAAAGGCAAGGAGAUUGUACCCAGCUGUACCCCUCUCAGAGAAUGGCUGCAGGUACCAGGUGAGGUGUUCCCUGGGUGGCUGCAGCACCCGUGAUUGUAGUGACCUCUGGGUCACAAUCACUACAAAUAAAAACCCAAUACAAUUCUCAUUUAUAAAAAAAUAAAUAAA
rnacentral:antisense_RNA from 1 species